rnacentral:piRNA from 1 species
UACGAAGACCUGUACCGCAGUAUCAG